UGCAAGUCGAGCGGCAGCGCGGGGCAACCUGGCGGCGAGCGGCGAACGGGUGAGUAAUGCAUCGGAACAUGUCCAUUCGUGGGGGAUAGCCCGGCGAAAGCCGGAUUAAUACCGCAUACGCCCGAGAGGGGAAAGCCGGGGACCGCAAGGCCUGGCGCGAAUGGGUUGGCCGAUGCCCGAUUAGCUAGUUGGUGAGGUAAUGGCUCACCAAGGCGAUGAUCGGUAGCUGGUCUGAGAGGAUGAUCAGCCACACUGGGACCGAGACACGGCCCAGACUCCUACGGGAGGCAGCAGUGGGGAAUUUUGGACAAUGGGGGCAACCCUGAUCCAGCCAUUCCGCGUGAGUGAAGAAGGCCUUCGGGUUGUAAAGCUCUUUUGUCCGGAACGAAACGGGUAGCGUGAAUAUCGCUGCCUACUGACGGUACCGGAAGAAUAAGCACCGGCUAACUACGUGCCAGCAGCCGCGGUAAUACGUAGGGUGCGAGCGUUAAUCGGAAUUACUGGGCGUAAAGCGUGCGCAGGCGGUUUUGUAAGCCAGAUGUGAAAGCCCCGGGCUUAACCUGGGAAUGGCAUUUGGGGACUGCAAGGCUUGAGUGCGGCAGAGGAGACUAGAAUUCCUGGUGUAGCAGUGAAAUGCGUAGAUAUCAGGAGGAAUACCGAUGGCGAAGGCAGGUCUCUGGGCUGACACUGACGCUCAUGCACGAAAGCGUGGGGGAGCAAACAGGAUUAGAUACCCUGGUAGUCCACGCCCUAAACGAUUGUCGACUGGUUGUUGGGGGUUUGACACCUCUCAGUAACGAAGCUACGCGUGAAGUCGACCGCCUUGGGGAGUACCGGCCGCAAGGUUAAA
rnacentral:rRNA from 1 species